rfam:Myotis brandtii contig238093, whole genome shotgun sequence.
GUCAGUUUGGCUCAGUGGAUAGAGCAUUGGCCUGCGGACUGAAGUGUCCCGGGUUCGAUUCCUGGAAAAGGCA